ACAAUGUGUAUAAGAUAAUGUGGGUUUUUUUUCACAAUGUGUAUAAUAUAAUGUUAAUUUUUCACAAUGUUUAUUAAAUACUAAUUCAGCAUAUAAUUACAGCAAAAAACUAUAUGGUUUUCAAAUUUUCUUUAUAAAACCGUUUUUUAAAACUUAAAAACAUUCUCAGAUGCAAAACACAUUACCAAAAAUAGCUUUUUACUAAUGUAACUGUCUCUAUUAGAUUUAAUGUCUACCAUUCUGAAUUCCAAAUUUUAAUUAUAAAAGUAAACAAAUCAAAUAGUUUAAACCUGUCAUUAGUUUAAUUGAAUAUUUAAUUUUACACUUUGCAAAACACUUUGAAGUAUAAAAAAAAGGACACAGCUCAUUCAGAUAUAUUAAAAAAAAAAGUGCAAUCUAUAUAUAUUUUCCAACUACCUUCAUGACCUUAUACCUUGUCAAUUCUGGUUGCAUUCAAUGUAGUUAAAUAUACACUUAAGUGAGUGUAAGAAUUCUACAAAACAAAUCUCUGCAAACUGUAGAGGGAUACAUUUUUCUCCAUUAUAGCAUGUCAAAUAAAUAUAGUUUUGAAUUGUGAACAAUUUCUUUUUGGAGAUCAAGUGAUAUAUUAUUUCUCACUUGUUUGAAAAAUAACCAGUUUUUCAUAUGGAAACAGUUAUUUUGAUCAUUUUUUUCUUAAAUUCUCCAUGGAUUUUCUUUUGUGACAGAUAUUUCUUAUGUACUUAAGGAAGAGUGUUUAUAAUAAUUUUCAAUAAUUAGAGAAUAAUAUGGCGGUGGAUUUUUUAAUUUUCCUCUCUAAAUAUUUAAAAAUGAUUAUAUAUGUAUUUAUGCUGUAGUAUAGUGCUGCUUUUGGGUUUAAGCAUAUACAGAUUUAGUUAAAUGAAGUUAUAAAAUUGUAGUAAACUAGAAAACUAAAACAGAUUAUGUUAAAGUAGCUUAUAUUAAGGUGGUACCCAACACUUUAACUAAAAUUAAUUUGGCUCGUUUAAUUUUCUUAAAAUUUUGACAAAGUAUUUACUUUGACCUUUUUACAAAAAUAUAAAAAUUUCAAAAAAUUUGAACCAACCGUUUUAUCAGAAAAAUUACACUGGUUAUAUAGCAGUUUGACAAACACUUAUUUUGAUCAUUGAAAAGCUUAAUAUUCCCUUAACAACACAACAUAAUUAAAACGUUUAGCUGAUUUUACAGAGUUAUCUCCCUGUAGUGUUAGGUACCACCUUAACUACUGUAAAUUCUGAAAUUAUUGUGAUAAUCCCAAUAAUGCAACUACUUAAGUUUCACAAAAAUAACAACUCGUAUUCUGAUAUCAAAUACAUGUUUCUUUAUAAAACUUUUUGGAAAAUCACAAUAAUUAAACUCACAAUUUGGUUUAUUUUUUAAAAAAACUACAAUAAUGAAUGCAAACAAUAAUUUCUGAAUUCACAGUGAUUAAGAUUACUUUUUUGUUACAUUUUCAUUUGUUCAUGUACUUUAAUAAGCAGCUCAUAUCAUGGCCCUGUAAACAUUUUUCCCCUGAUACUCACUUAGUUAUCUGAACUAUUUUGCUGUUGAUUAUACUUGAGGUUACAGAGUGAUUAAGAGACAAGAAUAUCAGAGUCCAAAGCCUCUACUAGAUAGCUAGGUGAAAAAUAAAAUCAGGAUGAUUUUGUACAUGCAUUCAGACUUGCUUUCCAGAUAGCAAACUCGCUCAUGAUUUAUGUUUUUGUUAAUACAUUGAAAAUGUAAAUAAAAAAUAUAUAAAUUAUCAAACAGCUCUUACAUGCAUAUAUUUGUCUUAUUGAAAAAUGAAGACAAAAUUUAAAAAAAUUGUGACAUGGAUGAAGAGUCUCAUUGGCACUCAUACCACAUCUCAUUAUAUCUAUUAGAGUCUUUUUUUUUAAAAGUGAGUUUGAAAUAAGUUGACAAAAAGACUUUAUUUAGAAAGUAUAUUACUACAGAAAUAUACUGAAUGCAUCUGCUUUAAAAAAAUAUAUUACCAAGUCAUGGACCCCUUGUGAAGAGUGAAGAUAUAAUGAGAUAAAACUAUACAAUACAUUUCUCUUUCAUUUUUAUCUAUAAAUAUUGGUAAAUAACCCAAAGAUGUUCAUUUAUGUAAGGUUUCGUUAUUUGAGACUUUUGUGAAAUAUUAACAAAAUGUUGUUUUAUAUGGCAACUGUAUAAAGACUUAUGGAUGUGACGCACAUCAUUUUGUAAUCACUAGUAAAGUGAUGUUUUGAAGUACCUCAAUAUGAGGCAUUAAUAUCGUUUUUAUCGCGAUUUUUACUAACACCUUUUAUUGAACUUUUAACCUGGCUCAUUUAUACAAUGUGCUUCUUUGUGUUACUUAUAAAACAAAUUAUAUAUAUUAGAUUUGCAUAUAAACUUGUAAAUUAAAAUUGAUUAUUAUGUUUUAUGUAAUUAGUUAUUAUACAUAUAGCUUUUAGAACAUUAAAUUGUUAAUAUACAUGUAUUAUUUUUUCUCAUUGAUUAAGAGACUGAAAACACUUUUCUCUUUCUUUUUUUUUCAAAACUUGUUUUUGGGCAGGAAUCAAAAGUGGUUUCCAUAUGGAAGGGGGAAAAUGGCUAAAAUUCAAUCACAACACAAACAAAUUACAUUAUUUAAACAAGUUUGCCAUUUCAAGAUCUAAAGCACUAUGGGUAAUAUUGUUUGUACAUGUACUGCAAAAUGUAAAUAAGAAGAUGUCAGAUGAUUUAUUCCAUUGAUUAGAGGGAUUAUAACCAAUCAAUGAGUUUUGGUGUUUGCUUUGAAAAUACAUAUCUCUUAUUCUUACGAAAUUUAUACUUUUCCUGACCUGUUGAUUAUAUUUGUUUAAUCAACGUGUGGUUUGUCCGAUCUCAGUUUGCCAUUAGUCAAAAUUUGAUUAUGACAUAUAAUUUUCUUGCUUUCCUCUGAAACUCCCAUCGUGACAUCAUAUAAACAUGAUAAAAAGGCGACCUAUAUUUGCCCUAAUUUAUUUGAACUGUUAACCAAAAACAUAACUUCAUUUGUUCAAACCUGUUCAUGUAUAGAGUAUAAAUGAGCUAUGUAUAUAAGUUCCUUGCACAUUUCAGUUCUAAUGUAUAUAGACGUCUUUAUGUAUAUUAUGUAAAAAGAGAAUAAAUAGUGUGGACUAUUAUGUUUUAAUUUAAGGCUACAAAUUUACAGAUGUUAAAAUGUGUACAUUGUAUAAACACAAACAUGAUGAAUGGCUAGAACUGUUCCAUUAAAUCUUGAAGGUACCAUUCUACAUUGUAGCAUUGGUUACUGGUGGUGGUUACAUCAUAGUUUCCUUCUCAAACAACAUUUGCAGUAACUUACAGUUGUCUUUUGUUUGUGCUCUCUAUAUAUUUUAAAAGAGAACAGUCCAUGUGUAAUAAGUUUGCUGUAAGGGGAUAAAGGAAUUUCUCUUGAGUGGAAAAUGGCAAAAGUACUAACUCAUACUUAAAAAAUAUUUAAAAAAAAUGAGGAAUAAUAAAACCAUUUACUAAACAAUCCACUGAAAACAUAGUAAUUCAUAAUUUAUUCUUACAAAUUGAUACAAAGAUACUGUUUUCUGUAUGUCUUUUUGUUACUUUCUUCAUUGGGUUACUGUCUCUUUGGUGCAUAACCUAAUUUUCCAUUCACAUUCCUUUCAAACAGUAUUUUUAUUUAUAUUUUUUAUUCAAUGGGAUUAUAUACUUUAUCUUUAACAAAACAAAUUGAGGAAUGCACUCAUAUGUAUUCUUUGUAUGAAAAUAUAGGUAUUUAUAUUGAAAACCAAUGAUAAUUUGCUGUUGUCAAUUUGAAGUGUAAUGGUUUAAUUCAGAUAGCUCUUGCAAUAUUUAAAACAUUAAAGAUUGUACAGAGAAAAUAUAUUAAUCCCGAUUCAUAAUCCAAUUCUUAUUAGGCCUGUUUUGGGGCCUAAGACCAUUUCUUUAGUCCUUAUAAAAUAGUAUAAUUUUCUUCUAACCUAGAUUUUUUUUUCAUGCAGAGUGAGUCAUUUGAAAUGACAUUUUUAUGAUCAUGUCACAUCUGACUUCUAAUUUUUCAAAUUAUUGUUCUAUUUCAUUUCUUUAUUUCUACAGAUAUUUUAUAAAACCUGGUUACUCAAGAGUUCGAAAUUUUUGUAAUUUUACUUUAUAUUUGGUCAUUUCCGAGAUGCCAAACAGAAUAGUCCACAUUUUAUGUAUUUUGUGAUUUUAUGUGUAAAAAUUAAAAAUAUUGUAUCAAGACAAAAAUGGGGGAAAAAUGGUGAUUUUUAUCAAGGAUUUGAUUGAAAGGGAUGUUUAAGGGGGUAACAGAACACCUGAAGGAAUUAACUCUUUCAAAAAUCAAUAACAAACUAUAAUUAAAGGGAAAUGAAGCUUCUCAAUUAUCAUAAAAAAAAAUGUUUCAAAUUGCUUUAGAUCCAAUGAAAUAUUUCCUUUUUGAAUUUUAUUGAAAAUUUCUUUUCUGAAUAAAAUGUCAACCUAAAUAUUUUAUAAAUAUCUUGUUGAAAUAAAACCUGCCGAAUUUGUAUAAGGAAACAUAAGAAAUGUUUGUCAGUACAUGUAUACCCUAGACAGAAUAUAUAUUUAAAGGUAUAGGCAGAAAUCAUUCAGUUACAUAAGAGACACUUUGUUCACUUGUAUGGCAUCUAAACAAGGAUGAAUACCUCUGAAGCUUUUGGUUAAGGUGAAAAGCCUCGCCCAUCUUAUGUAUAUUAGUAAUACAGCGAUACUCUUCUUAAAUUAACCUAGUUAAACAGAAACCCAUGUAUUAAGGCUCAUAAGGGUUUAAGAACUUCAGGUUUAGUUGGGGGAUGGGUUGUAUGUCAGUUAGUUUAAAAGAAAAUUCUUUGAACGCUUCAAUGUUUUCAAAAAAAAAUUUCUGGGAAGUAUUCAACUUAGUUAGAAUUGAUUAUACAUAGCAUUUCAUUUCAUAUCCUUUGAUAUAUUUUCUAUAUGUUUACCUAAAUACAAAAAAAUGACUUCAAAUGUUUUUCAAUGAAAUAACUAACUAACAACCACUAUUCUUAUAACUUCAUUUUCUUUGAUAAAAAAGUAAGAGGUUAUUGUUUGAUAGGAUUUGUUAAGACAAUUUCUGCAGUUAUUAAUUGGGUGUAACUAUUGAGAGAAGAAAUACUAUGACAAUUUGUAAACCAACAGAUUUGCAGAGUUCUGUCCCUUUUUCAGAUGUCACUUUAAAAAAAUGAAAAUGAAGUUGAGCUUAGCCUGGUAAUUAUUUGGAAAAAAAUCUGAAAUUUUGAGUUGCAAAUAAGUUGAAAUUAAACUUCCAUUGGAACCAUCAAAUAGUUGGAAACAAGUUUUAUUGUACAUAUGAUUCAAAUAAACACUAAUGCUAGUAGCAUAGGUUUCAAAUAAAAGAUAGUAAGUUCUACUUAUUGCUUGUAAAGUUUUUUUAUGAAGAAAAAAGGAAAGAAAAAGAGAGAGUACCAAUAAGUGUUGAAGAUGUCAUUUGAAAACAUAUUAUGGUGAGCAUAGAGAAUUCAAGGAAUGAAGUCAUGCAUUGUGUCUCAUAUGCCAAUGUUUAUAACUGGUGAAAUCUUUUGUUGAGCACAAGUGAAUGUGAAUCUAGUAUUCUAAUAACAUGGUCAUCACUGUAGUUUAUAGUGGCAGUAUAUUUACUUAAUAAAACUUGCCACAAAAAU
rnacentral:lncRNA from 1 species